UACGUAGGGGGCGAGCGUUGUCCGGAUUUAUUGGGCGUAAAGAGCGUGUAGGCGGCCAGGUAGGUCUGCUGUGAAAACUCGAGGUUCAACCUCGAGACGUCGGCGGAAACCAUCUGGCUAGAGUCCGGAAGAGGAGAGUGGAAUUCCUGGUGUAGCGGUGAAAUGCGUAGAUAUCGUAAGGAAGACCAGUGGCGAAGGCGGGUCUCUGGACAGUUCCUGACGCUGAGGCACGAAAGCCAGGGGAGCAAACGGG
rnacentral:rRNA from 1 species